GACAGAGGGGGCAAGCGUUGCUCGGAAUUACUGGGCUUAAAGGGCGCGUAGGCGGCUAACCAAGUCAGUGGUGAAAUCCUGCAGCUUAACUGUAGAAGUGCCUUUGAUACUGGUUAGCUCGAGGGAGGUAGGGGUAUGUGGAACUUCUGGUGGAGCGGUGAAAUGCGUUGAUAUCAGAAGGAACGCCGGUGGCGAAAGCGACGUACUGGACCUCUUCUGACGCUGAGACGCGAAAGCGUGGGGAGCGAACAGG
rnacentral:rRNA from 1 species